CAUUGAUUAUGAUGACGUAAGAAGGGGGCAUGUCUGAGACAAGCGUUCAGUUGGAUGAAUAACUCCCCCACAAAUCAUAAGGAUGAUUCAAACUUCCGGUGAACCAAUCCAUAGAAUACUACAAGAGAUUACAGAGAGCAUUCUAAGUGUCAUAACUUGUGAUGAUAUCCAGAUAUAUUUAAGUAAAUAAAACGCAACACACUGACUGUUUUUUAUUAGAUAGGAAAGUAAUUUAUUUGGAGGAAACAUUUGAACAAACAGAAAUGGGGAUGAGCGACAUCGACGUCAGUGCGAUAUUUUUGGCGAUAUUUUGUCUAGCAGUAUCUGCCCAUGCUACUGACUACAUCAAUGAGGAAACGACUAUAUCUUGCCUUGUUAGGGAGUACAACUUUAAGGUGAACAAACCCCAUACUCUCCCAAGUGGAGAGGUCUUACAAUGCUGGGAUGUUGUGAGCGUCAAUUCAUGUUGGGGACGCUGUGACACAAGCGAGAUUCCCGACUAUGAGAUUCCCUACAAAAUAAGCAACCACAAUGUAUGUACUUUUACAAAAAAAGUUAAGCGAGUUGUAAGAUUAAUGAGGUGUGAUCCCAGGCAUCCCGACCCAUACUACACCGUAUAUAGUGCAGCUGACUGCAGGUGUACCAAAUGUGACCCGGACUACACCAGUUGCGAGAGCUUACACGGCUGAUGGUAUCCUGCUAAAACGACUUCAAAAAUGAAAGAAAGAGCUUGAUGGUGGACCUUUCGAACAUACUUGUCCCUCGUUGUUUUUCCUUGGAGAGACAGGGAGUUCAGGCAAGAAGUUGAGAUGCAUUCCAUGUGGCGGCAAUUUGUGAACGAAGCGGCGCUAGUUUUCUAAGACUUGAGAAUGCUCAAAACAUCAAAACCCAUGCGCCCAAGCAAUUUUAUAACCUGAUACU
rnacentral:misc_RNA from 1 species